rnacentral:rRNA from 1 species
UACAGAGGGGGCAAGCGUUGUUCGGAAUUACUGGGCGUAAAGGGCGCGUAGGCGGCCCGCUAAGUCGAACGUGAAAUCCCCGAGCUCAACUCGGGAACUGCGUCCGAUACUGGUGGGCUUGAAUCCGGGAGAGGGAUGCGGAAUUCCAGGUGUAGCGGUGAAAUGCGUAGAUAUCUGGAGGAACACCGGUGGCGAAGGCGGCCGCCUGGGCCAGUCCUGACGCUGAGCCGCGAAAGCGUGGGGAGCGAGCCGG